GCUGCCCCCCAGCAAGGAGCCACCGCACAGCCAAAGGAGGCCGAUUGUCCAUGGCAGUGUCCCCCGUGUGCCACAGAGCUCUGGGGACCGUCAGAGCAGCAGUUUCAAACUGCCCCCCAUUCAGGAUUCUCUCCGGAACAAGGCAUUUCUGCAGGGACUCGUCACCCUUCCCAACAAGCCCAGAGUGAGCCAGCUGCUGGGCAGGGAUGGACACAUCCCGAGGGGCUGCAAUG